UGAGGAAUAUUGGUCAAUGGGCGAGAGCCUGAACCAGCCAAGUAGCGUGCGGGAUGAAGGCCCUUGUGGUCGUAAACCGCUUUUAUCAGUGAAUAAAGUGCAUCACGUGUGGUGUCAUUGCAGGUAGCUGAAGAAAAAGGACCGGCUAAUUCCGUGCCAGCAGCCGCGGUAAUACGGAAGGUCCGGGCGUUAUCCGGAAUUAUUGGGUUUAAAGGGAGCGCAGGCGGGAGUAUAAGUCAGCUGUUAAAUAUCAGGGCCCAACUCUGUUAUGCAGUUGAAACUAUAUUUCUUGAGUACGCACAGGGAUGGCGGAAUUCAGGGUGUAGCGGUGAAAUGCUUAGAUAUCCUGAAGAACUCCGAUCGCGAAGGCAGCCAUCCGGAGCGUAACUGACGCUGAGGCUCGAAGGUGCGGGUAUCGAACAGGAUUAGAUACCCUGGUAGUCCGCACGGUAAACGAUGAAUACUCGCAGUUCGGCCGUUUAGGUCGAGUUGUCCAGCGAAAGCGUUAAGUAUUCCACCUGGGGAGUACGCCGGCAACGGUG
rnacentral:rRNA from 1 species